UACGAAGGGGGCUAGCGUUGCUCGGAAUCACUGGGCGUAAAGCGCACGUAGGCGGCUUUUUAAGUCAGGGGUGAAAUCCUGGAGCUCAACUCCAGAACUGCCUUUGAUACUGAGAAGCUUGAGUCCGGGAGAGGUGAGUGGAACUGCGAGUGUAGAGGUGAAAUUCGUAGAUAUUCGCAAGAACACCAGUGGCGAAGGCGGCUCACUGGCCCGGUACUGACGCUGAGGAGCGAAAGCGUGGGGAGCAAACAGG
rnacentral:rRNA from 1 species